rnacentral:misc_RNA from 1 species
GCCAAUAAGGAAUCUGCUACCAGAGCUUCCCAAGUAUUUAUUAAUUUACUGCCUAGGGAUCAAUUUAAUGUUGAUUUUUCAGAAGUUGCCAACGUUGCUUUCUGGCAGAAUGAUCCAUUAGUUAAAGAAAGGUUUGUCAUGAGGAAGCGGUUUUUGAAAUUUAAGGAGAGAGUUGUAACCCUUAAGUUUAAAGCCUUUCAGCACCUGUGGAAGGAAGAUAUGCGCUUUCUUUCAAUAAGGAAAUACCGUGCAAAGACUCAAAAGAAAUAUGAAUUAAGCAUGCGGACAACACAUAGUGGGCAUAAAAAAAAUCGUUCUUCAAUUCGAUCUCGAUUCUCUCCUGGUGGAAAUUUGAGUCUUGUCACUACAACAGAAAUGCUUAACUUUACCAGCAAGGUGCUGCAAGUUUCUCAAGUCGAGCAAUACAGAAAUGCUUUGAAAAUGCCAGCUUUAAUUUUGGACAAAAAAGAGAGGAU